CUCAAUGAUAAUCACUAACUUCACAACCAACUCGAAGCCACCCAGUGAGCCAAGAGAAUGUGGAGCUGUUCUGAAGCACUGAUGGAUACUGCAUUGCUCCUGGAGAUCCCUCUCACUCCAGCAGCUAGAAACUCAGUAUACAUCUACCUGGCAGUUUCAGCAUGAUGUGAGAUGAGAAGGUCCCAGCUUACAUAUCAUUACCAUCACUACAGAGCCUAAACAGAUGAACCAGACAUUGCCAUCAUCUGUGUGUCCCGUGGUGACCAAGUGGCAGUGUGCAGGGCAGGCAGGAGUCAGGAAUGCCAGGGAGGAAGAUUCCCUACAACUCAUUCAGUCACUUUUGGCCUAAUGCUAACAUGUUUUCCUUAAGGUCAUCAGAAAAUGAGUGGAGCUAAGAACCAAACACCUACCUCCCUCCAUUUCAGCAUCCACAAAUUCAUCAUUCCAACUUAAAGUGAGAGCUGCUGAAAUUACACCAGCAACUUGUUCAAAAAAAAGGACAGGUGGUCUUUCACUGGUGGAAGGUCUCUCUUGAACUCAAAGAAAGUUGCAUUUCAAGUAACAUUUCAAGGUAUCCUUCAUGCAUGCUUACAAAUUUUUUACAACGAUUACACAAACAACCACCACAAUGCUGGGCUUACAAAAGAGGGGGUGGAUGUUUAGAUGCUGUAGUUUCACCCCAUGUUGGCAGGGAUAUGAAAAUUACAAAGUGAUAAAGAGAGAUGUAAGAGGGAGGAGCAGGCAUGAAUGCUUGAUUAUAUGCUUAAUUAAGCAAUACUGGCCACAUCAAGUUGUGGUGAAGCCUGUGUACAUUUGUAACAUGCUUUUAGUCCCAGGCAAUAAAUGGGUUACCUGCCUCUGAACGGACAGUGAGGGGGAGAUAUUUUCAAAGGUAGAAAUGUUGACUAUCCAGAAGAGCUGGACUUCUUCAUUAUUUUUUUUUUUUUUUUUUUUUUUUGCCUUUGAAGACUGUAUAUUAUCAGUUAAGAUCAUGAUCUCACCAAGUGAUCCAGUCACUCACAGAAAUAAUUCUACUUAGAUUAAUGAGACAACAGGCAGGAGCAAGAUUUACAGAUUUAGGCCUAAACCAAAAACUCUGAUAUUCAAAGAUAUAAAGGUUUUUCCUCCUGUUUAUGUUCCUUUAAUAAAAAUGCAGAUAUUGCUUUCUUAACCAUGAUAGGAGCUCUAGUCAUUAUUUUUCAAUACUAAUGUUACUGUUUUCCUAUAACUUCUGUUGUUCUGUAAUUCUAGGGGCCCAUGUCUAAUCCCAUAUGUAACAUGUUUAUUAGAUGUAAUAUUUUAUCUCUUGGAUUUGGUGUCUGACACUAUCAUUUUGUUCUUAUUUCAAUAAAAGUGAUUUCCCUUCUCUUCGCCCUGACAAGA